UCAUUUACCUGGGAGAGAGUAUACUAUGAUCAAGAAUAUGCUCCUCCCACGAUGAGUCACUAGCAUCUAGGUGUGCCGAUGUCUGCGUUUCUCCACUUGGGAGGAAACUCAGCUGCACAGCUUAUGAUCAUAGUGGACUGCUUUUGGCACAUUCCCCUU
ensembl:snRNA predicted gene, 23173